rnacentral:rRNA from 1 species
AGAACGAACGCUGGCGGCAGGCUUAACACAUGCAAGUCGAACGCCCCGCAAGGGGAGUGGCAGGCGGGUGAGUAACGCGUGGGAACGUACCCUUUACUACGGAAUAACGCAUGGAAACGUGUGCUAAUACCGUAUGUGCCCUUCGGGGGAAAGAUUUAUCGGUAAAGGAUCGGCCCGCGUUGGAUUAGCUAGUUGGUGGGGUAAAGGCCUACAAGGCGACGAUCCAUAGCUGGUCUGAGAGGAUGAUCAGCCACAUUGGGACUGAGACACGGCCCAAACUCCUACGGGAGGCAGCAGUGGGGAAUAUUGGACAAUGGGCGCAAGCCUGAUCCAGCCAUGCCGCGUGAGUGAUGAAGGCCCUAGGGUUGUAAAGCUCUUUCACCGGAGAAGAUAAUGACGGUAUCCGGAGAAGAAGCCCGGCUAACGUUCGUGCCAGCAGCCGC